GAAAGCUUCCUCCUCUUUGUCUGCGCUUGCAGACUCCGUUUGCCUCCCAGUUUUGAUGUCUUCAUGGAAACAGGAUUUCUCACUAGAUUUGCCAUUCUACCAGAGGUCUCCGUUAUUUCAGGGCCCUUUUCCUUACAACUUCCCUUGGGAGGAGCGUGUCGCAGGACAGCUAUCUAUAGAAGAGAGGAGCAUCACGACAGGAAACCAGUUCCAAGGUCUAUGUUGCAUAAUUUCCAAAUCUAUGGGACAAGUGGAGAAGAGGAAGAGCAGAAGCGCGGCAGCCAACGGCCUGAGGGGUGGCUGGUGGGAAAGAAGAGCUCCUGACAAAAUUUAUGUUUCUUCUACAUUUCAGCAUAAAAAGAGAGGGUGUAGGUGGGUUGCAGAGAAGGUGGCAGAUCUGGGGCAACAUGUAUCUACUAGCUUCUCAGAGCUAUUACAGCCUGGAGCCCCGUGACAGACGAACCUUAGGGAUGACAGCAGCUGGGAGGAGGCAGGUUGGCCGAGCAGCUCGUCGUUCUGCAUGUCAUCUGGAUGACACAGCCAAAGGCUUGUGUAUUAGUACUGCUGUCUAACAGCUCCACACAAGGUGCGUUAGGAGCGUAUGUUCGGCUGUGUGGGCAGGAGGAACUAUCGUAGAGUCAUAUGCUUUUCUUAGCUGAUGUGUGUAAAGCGGUGUAAAGUACUGUACACAUAAUAGCAUACAUUUAUUUAUUAUUAACCAAGAGAUUUUGACACCCAUCAGAAGAAAGCCGGCACACCCCCUUCUUGCUCUCCAGUGUGAGACCUCGCUGAAGCUUGCGGACACUUUAUCAUCGAUAACAAUGGAUCUUUGCCUUUUGUUCCUGCUCUCUACAGAACUCCAGGAAGCCGCAAGCAAUCAGGAAAAAUAAUUUCACCUUUAAAGCCUGGUUCUGGCCCUACAAAGGCAUUGUGGGUAUUUCCCUUGGUGUCAAUAGCUUUGUGCCAGACUGCUCGGGGUUCUGCACGUACAAAGCUUGUGAAAUCAACUACUAAGGGCUGGUCUCUGGGAUUUAAAUGUUUUUAAUAUAAACGACCCCAUGAGCUUGUCACGAAGGAUGUAAAAAUUUAGCAGCCACCAUUUUGCAUAGCCCCAAAACCCCCCCAAAACCCAACAACAACAAUGUGUGGGGUCUCUCUGCAGAGAGACAGCCUUUAAGUAACCCAAAGCUGCGCUGAAUUCAAGGAGAGGGGGGAAAAAAGCACCAUUUAAUUUUAAGGUGCAUUAAAAAGCAAUGCUCUCCACAUGGGAAAGGGCCUAGACCAGCGUGGAGAAGAUCAUCUCUCGUUCUGGCUUUGGUGGAUGAUGCAAACUGAUGAACAAAGGUAAAUUGUAGCUGAGGAUUAGAAACACCCCUGUCUUGAGAGCGAGGCCUGUGAUUAUGGGACAGUUUCCCAAGGGACGUAAUGAAAGCCUCAUCAUUUGAUUCAGUUAAAACCGGACUGGAAAAAACAUCAGAGAAUAUAUUCCAAGAAGAACCUUGCACUGGCUGGUAAAUCAGGCAGCUUGACAGUCCAUGUCUUUUGUAUUUCUGAUCUCUGUUGUCAUAUCUUUAAUUGAGUUAAAAUAAAGAGUA